ACACCGGCCGUUGGACCUUCGAGCAGGCGGUGCGGUAUUCCAUGGAGGCGGGCGGGCUCGACCGUGAAGCGGCGGAAGGCGAAGCUGCCGGUGCCGCUUCCGAACCGACGCAGAAGAUCUGGUACAUCACCGGCAAGUGGCAGAUCAUGAAUCUCCUCGGCCGUUAUCGCGACAAGCAAGGGGAGAAGUUCCGCCUCGGGCAGUUCCACGACGAAUUGAUCGCAAGCGGCAGCCUGCCCAUCUCCGUGGUUGAAUGGAUCAUGCUCGACGACCGAACGGCGCUCGAUCAGGCGCUCAAGUAAGCGCGCGGAGCUGAUACGAGUGGGCGUGACAGAGCACGCCAAAGCGUUCAUCCUUUAUCGACGCUGCCCGAUCGGCAGCCAGCGGAGGGUCCUGCCAUGAUCGACGAACGCGCGUUCCUUGCUCAACUCGAAGCCGCCAACGCGGACGAGCUCUCUCAAAUCCUGCGCCGCCCGAGCGUCGAAGAGCAACGGCUCCUGGAGAUCUACUUCGGCGCGGAACGGCUGGCGCGCUUGCGCAGCCUCGCACUUACAACCCAACGCCGCGCUGUCGCGCGCGGCCACGUGGUGGUGUUGCACGGCAUCAUGGGCGGCGAGAUGACGGUGCUGCCCGUGAACGCCCCGAGCCAGUUUAUCUGGAUGCAUAUCCCGCGCCUGAUUCGCGGCGCGGCCGGCUGGUUGCGCAUGACUCCGGAUUUCCGCUCGCAGUUCGAUGUCCGGCCGACCGGCAUCAUCAAGAAAUAUUACGCCGAACAGCUGCUCGGCCUGGCCGCGGAUGGCUGGAACGUGAAACCGUUUUGGUACGAUUGGCGCCAGGAUCUCGCCCGGAUCGCUGACGUUCUGCGCAAGUUCAUCGACG
rnacentral:misc_RNA from 1 species